rnacentral:lncRNA from 1 species
GACUUUGCCCCUGCCAUCUGAGGGUCUUUUGGAUUGGACAACUUUUCUGAAAUCCCUGACAAUUAUUCUAAAGUGUGCUUGCUACCUCACAUGAUGCUUUAUCAUUCAGAUUUCUGUUUGUGUGGAUGUGUGUUUCUAUCUUUGCUUAUAUGCUGAGGGUCAUUGGAAAAACAGAUGACUUUCUUAAGGUAAUGCCAAGCUGAAAUUGUUCUAGUGGUCAAGUUUGGUUUUGCCCAGUGUUUAUUGUCCAGGUAUUUGCCUAGUCUCUCCAAGCAGAAUCAGGCUUUCACUAAUGGAGGAGACUGAUGACAUGGUGACAUUUCACUAGUUCAUUGCUGAAUCUAGUUUUUAUUGUUUCGGAGAAACAAGGAGAGACAAGGGCAGGGUAGGAAUGUAAGAGGGGAGAUAUAUACAUCCUAUUAUUGACUUCAUCUUCAAUAGGAAAAUGGAAAAUCUAUUUGUGGGGGAUGAGGGAACUUGGGGUUCUAUUGUCAGAAAUAUGUGAUUAAACAUAACUGAGUCCUUCCAUGAACUAUCAUGAGAAAAGGUAGUCUUUGUUAAGUUUUGAGUCUCUGUCAGUUGAUAAUUAUUAAAUACUUACUGUGUUCCAGGACCAGUGCCUCUAUGUAAGGAAGGUGACCAGGUCAGCCACAGCUCAUUCCUCCCUAGGCUAUAUUCCUGAAUUCCUCUGCUAUGCUCUAGCUGUUCAAUCCAAAGCCUCACUUCCACCCUGGAUUUUACCCAAAAUGCUUUACCAUGAGCCUCAGAGAGGAGUGAAAAAAUCCAGGGCCUUUUGCAAGAUAUAUUUCAAGCACUGUAUCUGUCACUGAAAUCUACAAAGUGUGCUUCAGCUAUAAAUCUCCAUCCUUGAAUGUACACAUACAAUUAUCGUGGUGAGAUCUGCCUUCCAUAAAAGUGACAAUUGUCAUUCCUGGUCUUGCUUUAGUUUGUAUAAAUAUAAUGUUUAUGUUGAAAAAAAUCACCUGUCAUUUAAUAGGAAACAUGGAAAUUUAUGCUACGAUUAUAUUAAAUGCUAUGCUUUUAAAUGUCUUUUUAUAGUCAUAGAGAAAUUAAUUUAACCUAAAUUGUAUCUCGACUAUUGUAUAAGUCCAAAGGUCUUAAUGACACAAGCUGCU